AGUGAACGCUGGCGGUAUGCCUAACACAUGCAAGUCGAACGGCAGCACAGUAAGAGCUUGCUCUUACGGGUGGCGAGUGGCGGACGGGUGAGGAAUACAUCGGAAUCUACUUUUUCGUGGGGGAUAACGUAGGGAAACUUACGCUAAUACCGCAUACGACCUACGGGUGAAAGCAGGGGAUCUUCGGACCUUGCGCGAUUGUAUGAGCCGAUGUCGGAUUAGCUAGUUGGCGGGGUAAAGGCCCACCAAGGCGACGAUCCGUAGCUGGUCUGAGAGGAUGAUCAGCCACACUGGAACUGAGACACGGUCCAGACUCCUAAGGGAGGCAGCAGUGGGGAAUAUUGGACAAUGGGCGAAAGCCUGAUCCAGCCAUACCGCGUGGGUGAAGAAGGCCUUCGGGUUGUAAAGCCCUUUUGUUGGGAAAGAAAAGCAGCAGGUUAAUACCCCGCUGUUCUGACGGUACCCAAAGAAUAAGCACCGGCUAACUUCGUG
rnacentral:rRNA from 1 species